GAUGAAGAACGUAGCGAAAUGCGAUAAGUAAUGUGAGUUGCAGAAUUCAGUGAAUCAUCGAAUCUUUGAACGCACAUUGCGCCCCCUGGUAUUCCGGGGGGCAUGCCUGUCCGAGCGUCAUUGCAACCUUCAAGCGCGGCUUGUGUGUUGGGUCUCGUCCCCCGUGGACGGGCCCGAAAGGCAGUGGCGGCGUCCCGACAUGGUGCCCGAGCGUAUGGGAAUCCUCUUCCGCUCGAAUCGGCCCAUGCGGCGCUGGUCGUAACCAAAUUUUUUACCGGUUGACCUCGGAUCAGGUAGGGAUACCCGCUGAACUUAAGCAUAUCAAUAAGCGGAGGA
rnacentral:misc_RNA from 1 species